CUCGAUGAUAUUUCUUAACUACAUAUAAAACUCGAGUUCACUGGUUGAGCGGGAUGUUGCAGCGGAUGGUUAGUGAGCUUUAGGAAUUUCCGGAUGCGUCGUGUCUUCAUACAUGGGCGUCAUCCCAUGACUCUCUUUGAUACUUGUUAUUCCGCUGCUGUGUUUGAAAUUAAUUUCUAGAAGUCUUCCGCACUAUUUAAUACUGUUUUAUGACAUUAAGUAUCUUGAGACUAAAAUCCGUUGCUUAACUUUUCAAUAAACUAAAAUAUUUCGUUUUGAAGUUAAUUGGGUUUUUCAUAUUAAA